GCUAGCGUUGUUCGGAAUUACUGGGUGUAAAGGGUUCGUAGGCGGUGCGGCAAGUCGGGAGUGAAAUCUCUGGGCUUAACCCAGAGGCUGCUUCCGAAACUGCUGUGCUUGAGUGUGGGAGAGGCGCGUGGAAUUGCAGGUGUAGCGGUGAAAUGCGUAGAUAUCUGCAGGAACACCCGUGGCGAAAGCGGCGCGCUGGACCACUACUGACGCUGAGUGAACGAAAGCUAGGGGAGCAAACAGG
rnacentral:rRNA from 1 species